GAUGAACGCUAGCGGCAGGCCUAAUACAUGCAAGUCGAACGGGAUCCAGGCUUCGGCCUGGUGAGAGUGGCGGACGGGUGAGUAACACGUGGGAACCUGCCUUUUGGUUCGGGAUAACCGCGGGAAACUGCGGCUAAUACCGGAUGCUCCCGAGAGGGGAAAGAUUUAUCGCCAGAAGAGGGGCCCGCGUCCGAUUAGGUAGUUGGUGAGGUAAUGGCUCACCAAGCCGACGAUCGGUAGCUGGUCUGAGAGGAUGAUCAGCCACACUGGGACUGAGAUACGGCCCAGACUCCUACGGGAGGCAGCAGUGGGGAAUAUUGGACAAUGGGGGCGAACCCUGAUCCAGCAAUGCCGCGUGAGUGAUGAAGGCC
rnacentral:rRNA from 1 species